GCUGCAUCUGGGCUGCAUCUGGGCUGCAGCUGGCUAGUCCUCACACUCAUCAGCCCAGCCCUGCCUUGUCCUACCUCUGUCUCUGAUGGCCGUGCUGGUGCAUCUGCUGCUGCUAUGGCUGCUUCUGAGGGCGACAGUUUGCAAUGAGAGCAGUCCAAGCCAGUGUGGGACAGAUGAGUUCCUAUCUGAGACCUUCUGCUGCCAACUUUGUCCUGCUGGCACCCAUCUCAUUAAAUCAUGCCAGAGGAACCACAGCAAGAGUGAGUGCAUCCCAUGUGAGCUUGAAAACUUCAUGGACUACAAAAACAGGGAGUAUUCCUGCUUCCGCUGCUCUCAUUGCCGGGAUGACCAAGAGGAGGUGUCAGAAUGCUCCCAGACGGCUGAUCGUAAGUGCCAGUGCAAGCAGGGCGCCUACUGUAACUCUGAAAACUGUGUGGAGAAGUGCCUUCCAUGCAGCAGCUGUCCUAAAGACAAAGUCAUCAGGCAAUGCAACGCCACCAUGGACACACUAUGUGACACGUUCGAGUCAAACUCAGGGACGCCAGGUUAUCACCAUCUCUGCCUGUCUGGACCUCUGACUGUUAUAGUUGUCAUAGCUGCUGUCAUCACCAUCAUUGCUGCUAUCAUCGCCGUCAUUUGGUGUGUUUUAAAAAGAGUUCUUUCUUCAUCCACUGCACCAGGGAGUCUAAAUUCACCACGUGUUCCAGGAGAGGAGAUUCAGCUCUUGCCUGUGGAGGCCAGAAGAGGAUGCUGGAUCCCUUGGAACUGGAGUUACUGAUCCAUCCUGCAGAUGCUGGGAACUGAACCUAGGCUCCCUAGAUGAGCAGCCACCUCCAAUAUGCUACAAAAUUCUCAUGAGUAAACAGAUGGCAUUCCUGAAGCUCACUGGACUUAAGGACAUUGAUAUUCCUGAGCAUGGAAGUAGAAGCUUGGUUGUACUUGUGGAAUAUCCAUUUACACUAUGUGAAUGUAUGUCAUUGGUUUAAUAAAGAAGCUAAGUGGUCAAUAGGUGGACAAGUAGAGGUUAGGUGGGAGGGCCAAAUGAAGAGGAUGCUGGGAAGAAGGGCAGAGUCUGGGAGUUGUGAGCAGAAGCAAAGAAAAGCAUGAUGAGCAUGCUGUGCCACGUGACAAAGCAUAGAUGAGAAAUUUGGGUUAAUUUAUAAUGAAAGAGUUAGCUAGUAACAAGCCUGAGCUAUUGGCUAAACAUUUAUAACUAAUAAUAAGUUUCUGUGUGGUUACUUGGGAGUGACUGGCAGGACAGAAACUUCUGCCUACAGGUACUGUUUCUAAACUUGGGACUGGCCUCCCAGAAACUAAUAAUUUAUAUGUGUUUGCAAGCUGUGACAAUUUAGCUGCUAAAACACAUGUGUGUGCUAGGUCCUCAAGCUAGAGUCAUGUGUCUUUUGAUACAGAAUUGAGACAUUCCAAAUAGCCCAGCUGAGUUUGAAGCUGGCACCCAUCCCACUGCAUACCCCGUGAACUCCAGAUAUGUGAUGUGCCCUUUUCUUGUGUAAAGCACAUCAGUCCUGUGUGUGGCUAGAGGACUUCCCUCCUUGAUGCCCACUGUGGCCUUAGGAUAUAAGGCUUUGUACUCUGAACUUGUCAAUUAGAGCCAGUUUGGGAUCAUGGUGCUUGGAAUGCCUUUCUAGGGGCCAAGGUUAGGAGGACCCAAAUGUUCUUUGAGCCACCAUGCCCCUGCAGUCUAUAGCAGGGUGUGACCCAGGUAAGAUGCUUUGUUAUACAGAUAAGCUCACAAGAAAGACUCCUGGCAGGCCUGCCUGAGCAACUAUGGACUCUGCCACACUGGGCACUGGGAACACAGUCUGUGCUUUUAGGCAUCCAACCCCCAGGCAUCUGCCUAAGAACUAGCCUUAGACUUGAUUCCUCUCAAACUACAGUGAGCAUGUAUGAAUGAGAAUUACUCAGAAGAAGCUGUAUCUGAUAGAUUCACAACACACCCCCACGAUUGGGCAUGUCUGGUGGACCUAGACACUUCCGCCUAGCCAGUUCCUUGUCAAAAUAGCCAUUUCUGGGCCAAGGCAUCUCGAGUGACCAGGACCCCAUGGCUUUGCAUGGUUGCGUAAGAGCAUGCAACACAACCAUGUGAUCUACGCACAUGUGUGGAGUAGCCACAUUGACCUGUGUACGCGUGCGCCACCUAGCUUUUGUAAGCCAGAGCCAUAUUCCUGGCUUUCUUCUUCUUCUUCUUCUUCUUCUUCUUCUUCUUCUUCUUCUUCUUCUUCUUCUUCUUCUUCUUCUUCUUCUUCACACAUAUGUCUCUUCUGCAGGCCUGAGCACUUGUCUGUCUCUCUUAUCUUAAUAAAACUCUUGUUAGUGGAUCCUGUCAUGUUUCAUGACAUUUCCUUGCAGGGUAAGAGUGCCGCCAAAUAACUAACAGUAUCUAUGUUGGUUGAUUAAUUGAUUAAAAUUUUAGCCAGGCGGUGGUGUCACAAACCUUUAAUCCCAGCACUCAGGAGGCAGAGGCAGGCAGAUUACUUUAAGUUUGCCAGCCUGGUCUACAAAGUGAGUUCCAGGAAAGCCAGGGCUACACAGAGAAACCCUGUCUUGAAAAAACAAAGACUAGAUAGUUAUAGUUGCACUUUUCCUUAGUUAUGAUCGAUUAGGUAUAAAACUUUGAAGUCACAAAGAUGGUAUGGAUGGUGGAGUGUUUUCUCUGAAUUUGCUAAACACAAAUGGACUGAAUAUUGUAAAUCUAAUUCUUACCUGAUAAUGGU